rnacentral:rRNA from 1 species
GACGGAGGAUGCAAGCGUUAUCCGGAAUGAUUGGGCGUAAAGCGUCCGCAGGUGGCAGUUCAAGUCUGCUGUCAAAGACCGGGGCUUAACUUCGGAAAGGCAGUGGAAACUGAACAGCUAGAGUAUGGUAGGGGCAGAGGGAAUUCCUGGUGUAGCGGUGAAAUGCGCAGAUAUCAAGGAGGAACACCGGUGGCGAAGGCGCCACUCUGGGCCGAACUGACGCUGAGGAGCGAAAGCGUGGGUAGCAAACAGG